CUGGGUGCCGGUGUUUGGAGCGGGGCCUGAUCCCGAAAUCCGGCCCGAAAAGCGGGUGUUGGGGUGGAGAGAUGGCAGCUCUGCAAAUAACGGGGGCUGGGGUUGUGGGAUCCGGUUCCCAGUGGGAUCCGGGACCUGGGAUCGAUUGUUCCCAGUGGGAUCUGUGACCUGGGAUUGUUCCCAGUGGGAUCCGUGACCUGGGACCAAACAUUCCCAGUGGGAUCCGUGACCUGGGAUCAAACAUUCCCAGUGGGAUCUGUGACCUGGGAUCGAUUGUUCCCAGUGGGAUCUGGGACCUGGGAUUGUUCCCAGUGGGAUCGAUAGCCUGGGAUCGAUUGUUCCCAGUGGGAUCCUUGACCUGGGAUCAAUCGUUCCCUGUGGGAUCCGUGACCUGGGAUCGAUUGUUCCCAGUGGGAUCGAUAGCCUGGGAUUGAUCAUUCCCUGUGGGAUCUGUGACCUGGGAUCAAACAUUCCCAGUGGGAUCAGUAACCUGGGAUCGUUCCCAGUGGGAUCGAUAGCCUGGGAUUGAUCGUUCCCAGUGGGAUCCGUGACCUGGGAUCGAUCAUUCCCUGUGGGAUCUGUGACCUGGGAUUGUUCCCAGUGGGAUCUGUGACCUGGGAUCGAUCAUUCCCUGUGGGAUCGAUAGCCUGGGAUCGAUCAUUCCCACUGGGAUCCGUGACCUGGGAUCGAUCAUUCCCUGUUGGAUCAAUAGCCUGGGAUUGGGUGUUCCCGUGGGAUUGAUAGCCUGGGAUCGAUCGUUCCCAGUGGGAUCUGUGACCUGGGAUUGUUCCCAGUGGGAUCUGUGACCUGGGAUCGAUCGUUCCCAGUGGGAUCUGUGACCUGGGAUUGUUCCCAGUGGGAUCAGUGGGGUCACUCCUGGGGUCAGUGGGGUCACUCUGGAUCAGUGGGGUCACUCCAGGGAUCACUGGGGUCACUCCAGGGAUCAGUGGGGUCACUCUGGAUCAGUGGGGUCACUCUGGAUCACUGGGGUCACUCCUGGGGUCACUCCUGGAUCACUGGGGUCACUCCUGGAUCAGUGGGGUCACUCUGGAUCACUGGGGUCACUCCAGGGAUCACUGGGGUCACUCCAGGGAUCAGUGGGGUCACUCUGGAUCACUGGGGUCACUGCUGGGGUCACUCCAGGGAUCAGUGGGGUCACUCCUGGGGUCACUCCUGGAUCACUGGGGUCCCUCCUGGGGUCACUGCUGGAUCAGUGGGGUCACUCCUGGAUCACUGGGGUCACUCCUGGGAUCACUGGGGUCACUCCAGGGAUCAGUGGGGUCACUCUGGAUCAGUGGGGUCACUCUGGAUCAGUGGGGUCACUCCUGGGGUCACUCCUGGAUCAGUGGGGUCACUCUGGAUCAGUGGGGUCCCUCCUGGGGUCACUCUGGAUCAGUGGGGUCACUCUGGAUCACUGGGGUCACUCCUGGGGUCACUCCUGGAUCAGUGGGGUCACUCUGGAUCACUCCUGGAUCAGUGGGGUCACUGCUGGGGUCACUCCUGGAUCACUGGGGUCCCUCCUGGGGUCACUCCUGGAUCAGUGGGGUCACUCCUGGGGUCACUCCUGGAUCACUGGGGUCCCUCCUGGGGUCACUGGGGUCACUCCUGGAUCAGUGGGGUCACUCCUGGGGUCACUCCUGGAUCAGUGGGGUCACUCCUGGGGUCACUCCUGGAUCAGUGGGGUCACUCUGGAUCACUGGGGGCACUCUGGGGUCACUCCUGGGAUCACUGGGGUCCCUCCUGGAUCAGUGGGGUCACUCCUGGGGUCACUCCUGGAUCAGUGGGGUCACUCCUGGGGUCACUCUGGAUCAGUGGGGUCACUCUGGAUCAGUGGGGUCACUCCAGGGAUCAGUGGGGUCACUCUGGAUCAGUGGGGUCACUCCUGGGGUCAGUGGGGUCACUCUGGAUUAGUGGGGUCACUCCUGGGGUCACUCCUGGAUCACUGGGGUCUCUCCUGGGAUCAGUGGGGUCACUCUGGAUCAGUGGGGUCACUCUGGAUCAGUGGGGUCACUCCUGGGGUCACUCCUGGAUCAGUGGGGUCACUCCAGGGAUCACUGGGGUCCCUCCUGGGGUCACUCCUGGAUCAGUGGGGUCACUCCUGGGUUCACUCCUGGAUCAGUGGGGUCACUGCUGGGGUCACUCCUGGAUCACUGGGGUCCCUCCUGGGUCACUCCUGGAUCAGUGGGGUCACUCCUGGGGUCACUCCUGGGAUCACUGGGGUCACUCCUGGGGUCACUGGGGUCACUCUGGAUCAGUGGGGUCACUCCUGGGGUCACUGGGGUCACUGGGGUCACUCCUGGGGUCACUCCUGGAUCAGUGGGGUCACUCUGGAUCACUGGGGGCACUCUGGGGUCACUCCUGGGAUCACUGGGGUCCCUCCUGGAUCAGUGGGGUCACUCCAGGGGUCACUCCUGGAUCAGUG
rnacentral:lncRNA from 1 species